GAUGAAGAACGUAGCAAAAUGCGAUAAGUAAUGUGAAUUGCAGAAUUCAGUGAAUCAUCGAAUCUUUGAACGCACAUUGCGCCCGCCAGUAUUCUGGCGGGCAUGCCUGUUCGAGCGUCAUUUCAACCCUCAAGCCCUCGGGUUUGGUGUUGGGGAUCGGCGAGCCUUUCUGGCAAGCCGGCCCCGAGAUCUAGUGGCGGUCUCGCUGCAGCCUCCAUUGCGUAGUAGUAAAACCCUCGCAACUGGAACGCGGCGCGGCCAAGCCGUUAAACCCCCAACUUCUGAAUGUUGACCUCGGAUCAGGUAGGAAUACCCGCUGAACUUAAGCAUAUCAAUAAGCGGAGGA
rnacentral:misc_RNA from 1 species